UCAGAGUCGGAUCCUGGCUCAGAUUGAACGCUGGCGGCAGGCCUAACACAUGCAAGUCGAACGGUAACAGGAAGCAGCUUGCUGCUUUCGCUGACGAGUGGCGGACGGGUGAGUAAUGUCUGGGAAACUGCCUGAUGGAGGGGGAUAACUACUGGAAACGGUAGCUAAUACCGCAUAACGUCGCAAGACCAAAGAGGGGGACCUUCGGGCCUCUUGCCAUCGGAUGUGCCCAGAUGGGAUUAGCUAGUAGGUGGGGUAACGGCUCACCUAGGCGACGAUCCCUAGCUGGUCUGAGAGGAUGACCAGCCACACUGGAACUGAGACACGGUCCAGACUCCUACGGGAGGCAGCAGUGGGGAAUAUUGCACAAUGGGCGCAAGCCUGAUGCAGCCAUGCCGCGUGUAUGAAGAAGGCCUUCGGGUUGUAAAGUACUUUCAGCGGGGAGGAAGGGAGUAAAGUUAAUACCUUUGCUCAUUGACGUUACCCGCAGAAGAAGCACCGGCUAACUCCGUGCCAGCAGCCGCGGUAAUACGGAGGGUGCAAGCGUUAAUCGGAAUUACUGGGCGUAAAGCGCACGCAGGCGGUUUGUUAAGUCAGAUGUGAAAUCCCCGGGCUCAACCUGGGAACUGCAUCUGAUACUGGCAAGCUUGAGUCUCGUAGAGGGGGGUAGAAUUCCAGGUGUAGCGGUGAAAUGCGUAGAGAUCUGGAGGAAUACCGGUGGCGAAGGCGGCCCCCUGGACGAAGACUGACGCUCAGGUGCGAAGUGGGGAGCAAACAGGAUUAGAUACCCUGGUAGUCCACGCCGUAAACGAUGUCGACUUGGAGGUUGUGCCCUUGAGGCGUGGCUUCCGGAGCUAACGCGUUAAGUCGACCGCCUGGGGAGUACGGCCGCAAGGUUAAAACUCAAAUGAAUUGACGGGGGCCCGCACAAGCGGUGGAGCAUGUGGUUUAAUUCGAUGCAACGCGAAGAACCUUACCUGGUCUUGACAUCCACGGAAGUUUUCAGAGAUGAGAAUGUGCCUUCGGGAACCGUGAGACAGGUGCUGCAUGGCUGUCGUCAGCUCGUGUUGUGAAAUGUUGGGUUAAGUCCCGCAACGAGCGCAACCCUUAUCCUUUGUUGCCAGCGGUCCGGCCGGGAACUCAAAGGAGACUGCCAGUGAUAAACUGGAGGAAGGUGGGGAUGACGUCAAGUCAUCAUGGCCCUUACGACCAGGGCUACACACGUGCUACAAUGGCGCAUACAAAGAGAAGCGACCUCGCGAGAGCAAGCGGACCUCAUAAAGUGCGUCGUAGUCCGGAUUGGAGUCUGCAACUCGACUCCAUGAAGUCGGAAUCGCUAGUAAUCGUGGAUCAGAAUGCCACGGUGAAUACGUUCCCGGGCCUUGUACACACCGCCCGUCACACCAUGGGAGUGGGUUGCAAAAGAAGUAGGUAGCUUAACCUUCGGGAGGGCGCUACCACUUUGAUCCGGC
rnacentral:rRNA from 1 species